rnacentral:lncRNA from 1 species
UUCUAUGGAGGCAACAAUGUUGAUCAAAGAAUGAUUUUAUCACCAACAAAUACUUAUUAUUAUUUGACAACUGAAAAAUUGCUCUUAUUCUAGAAGAAAAGAAUCAAGAUUAAAUUCGAAAAAUAAAAAACAAAAAAAAAAGUAUAACGAAAAGUUAUGUCAAUGAGGAAAAGAAAGAGGGAGUGAGAGUGAUUGAAAAAAUAAAUAGAAGUGAUAAGGAAAUGAAAAUAAUAUACGAA